GCGGGAUCCUGGUUUGCUUGCUGGGGUACAGUGAUCAGGUUACGAUGGAUUUCUCAGUGAGAACCUCGUGGCUCAGUCACUAUAUCUGUGUGA
rnacentral:pre_miRNA from 1 species